AGCAUGCUCGGAAUAAGUUCCAGUCGUGGCAUUCGGAAGUCGAACGGGAGGAAUAUCUGACAAUUAUCGCCUGACCUGACGAUCUGCGGAAGCGAGAUCUCCAAUUCUCGUCUCCUUUACGCAGGUAUGCAUCCCUGCAUACAGCGGGCUCAAGGAGAACCAACUUAGCCACCAAAAGGAACCAAAAGAAAAGCUAGGCCACUCUGGCCAGACCAGCUGCGUCCGUUUCCGUUUCUCACCCACAGAAUACACUGGUCCACAUAAAACAAUUUUUUUGUUUCUUUUUGUAGCGCACUUUGAGAAGCUGGGAUGCAUCUGUUAUUUGUUGGACCGAGAUCAAAUCCUUCAACCUAGGACUCAAAAGGAGCCCAGACCUGGUCAACACAUUCACUAUUAAUGUGCCGACACUAAAGGUGAUUGAUCUGUGGGACUUCGAUGCUAUUGACCCUUUUUUGGCAUUCGAAUUCGAUAGUUAACUAGUUACAUCCCAUGACAUAAUCAGCAGGCG
rnacentral:sRNA from 2 species